CUAGCUGUAUUUCCGUUCCGUCCCUUUAAAGGGCCUCUCCGAUGGCGCGUUGGAAAGUCCGGAUGCUUCCCUGUGAUUGGGCGGGGCUGCCCGCCGCUGACGCAACUUAGUAUAUAAAAGCCUGAGCGUUGAGCGGAGACCGGCUCAGUCCGGGUGGAUGUCGUGUCGGCGGGAGGGUCGGUGCAUCUAGCUUUCGACGCCCUUGCAGUCUGAGGACCUCAGGAGCUGGGGGUAAGAGGUGAAUUUAGUGCUGAAGGCAUGGCCCAGUGAGCUGCUUGUGGUGAUCUGUUCCUUUUCAGAAGAGCUGCCAGCCAACUGGCGAGAUGCCAUGUUCAUUGGAUUCUGACCUCUGCUAGUGUGCCUUAUCUCAGUCUGGAAGGAUCCCAAGGGCACAAAGGCCCUUGUGGGUGUGGAAGAGAAAUCAAGAGGGUAAAGUAGGUCACUCCACACCCAAUGAUUCCCUCCCCACAUCCCACAGAAACUCCAUCCCUGUGCCAGGAGCUGCCUGGAAUGCAGAUUACUGUAAGGAGAUCAUUGUGUCUGAGUAGAAGAGAUGAUGGUUCUGCCCAGAAGCCUCUUCUGAAUCUGCCAGGGGUCUAGAUUAGAAGAAAUGGGACCAGAUGAGAACACAGACAGACCGGAAACAAAGCAGACCAAUGGACAUGAGCGGCGGACAAUGAAAGCAAAACAUGUAGGAGCAGCCCCUCUGCGCUCCGGCCACACUUUCUGCCUCAUGCAAAAAAAUAAAAUAAAAAUCCCAGGCCCAGCCAAGCUUGGCCCCCAGGCUCUGGAUGGCGCUAAAAGCCACAGCAUUGUGUGUUGCUAAUGGGGGGGGUCUGCCCCCAUCCUCAACUCCAAACCAGCAUUGGUUUCUGUCAAAAGGAGCACCCGCGAUUAAUGGCACAAUCUCCCAUCACCCCUGCGGUGUAAGCGCUGGGUCCCGAACCCUGGAAACUGCAUUUUGAGAGACUCUGACGGCCGCCGACGUAAAGAUGGGGACGAGCUGUGGGAGAAGCAGAGCCUCGUCAGACCCCUGCCCCCUCCAGCUGUGACCGAGCAAGCUCUGCUGCCGCAGCCGCCGACGAGGUCGGAAUCGGGUGCAAGCGGCCAACCAGUCCCGUCUUCCCCCCCAGACCCAGGCCGCAGCUCGGAGGAUCGUACGGAGGCGCGUGAGGAAUGCCCUCUCCCUCCCCAGAUCGGCCUCUUCAGAUCGGGUCACUCCCAGCCGCAGGGGUCGUCUCGUGGGAGCCAGGCUGAUUCUGGAAAGGUGGCUGUCUGGGGUUUAGCAGAGGAGGCACCCUCCUCCUUCGGGGGCAGGAACGGUCUUCUCGUCGGGGAUGUCAUCAGCCGGACUCCCCGAGGUUCCCAGACAUGACUGCUGACUGAUGACCCUCGGCUUCUGAGGCUGUCGAGGGGAAACUGAGGAGCGUGGGCCUCCUUGGUCUGGCUCUAACCGGCCCAUCGCAGGAGCCCGUACUUGGUGAUGGAUUUGGAUCUGGAGGUCAGGGUGGGGGAGUGGAGUGGCCCAGGGAGGUCAGGAGCGUUCUGGUUUCACGUCCAGCUUCCCUUUCCGAGGCUGAAUUUGGGCUGCCGUGUCUCGGGGAGCUCGACUCUGACAAGGAGAAACCGACUCCCUUGCGCUAGGCUUUUGAUUGUCCAGCUUGAAUAGGGCUUUGGGGCUUAAAGAUGGCCCCUGUAGCCCAGCUCCAGGAAAGGAUGCGGAGAGCCUAUGCCACUGGCACCAGAACUGAGCAAUCCUCUUCCCGUUGGGCUAGCGGCGGGCUCCUGCCCUUCCUGGAACAACCAGUGGGAGGCUGCUGGCAACUCAGGGCAUGUGGAAGAGCCUAGGGAUGGCGGGCAAUAUUGGCAUGGCGAGAGUUUUCCUCCUGGAACUGUGAGGUUCGGAUGCGUUUCGAGCCAGAGGUAGAACUGAUGCCCUUUUGCUUGCAAAUUCUGUCUUCAACCUCCCUCUCUCUCUUCCACCAGGCCUCUUAGUUGGCACCACAUUCUGUGGUUUCAUUAUCCCUUGAACAUCACUUAGAGGUUUAGGGGCUGUGGGGUUCGCUAGGGCAAUUCAACGUGCCGCCGUUGAGCACCUCUUCUUCCCUCCCCGGAGAAUUCAGUUCCCACCAACUAGGAAAUGUGAAAAUGGGUUUGAUUCAACUGAGGGAUCGGGUCAGCAAGAGCUUCUGCGGGAGAUCCUUGCUUAUGCAGGUACAUAAUGGAGUCUGAAUUCUGACCCCUUCCUGGGACUCUUUCUCCAUCAGGACUGUACAGGGCGGCCCCUUGUUGUCACACUGAGGGACAUUAUCAAGGUGAGACGAAGCUGCGCUGUGACGGGAGGGGGAAGCAGUUAAGCAGGCUGAGCGGGGAGGCAGCCAGAUGCUGCGGCAUUCAAGGUCACAGGACCCUGGCCACACCCGGAGGAGGUGUCCCCAGGAGAAGAGAAAGUCAUAAUGCCAAGUGGGUUUUGUAACUCAAAGACAAAGUGGCCCGCUGGGAAGGCUUGAAGUAGCGACGUCUUUAAGCUGCCCGGUCUGGAUCCUUCGGAGCCUUUGAGUAGUAGCGACGGGAAUCUCAGGCUCCUUGGGACUCGGCCAAAACACCAGGCUCCAAAACCAGCUCCUCCUUAAUGCAGUUUGUAUGGGGAACAGCCUGUAAGAUCGGGCUAUCUUCCAGCACAGCUGACCGAGGACAUGCCAUGGGUUACCAAGAGGGUGCUCUGGAAGGUGUUUGCAGCAGAGCAGGUGAUGACAGUGUAGCCUUGAGCGGAAUUUUUUGUUCCUUUGUGUCUUCUCCCCUGUCUUCUAGUCAACUGCUAAACAUCAAGCUGCUCAGAAAGUUGGACAUGUGAAAAUCAGAGCGCCCUCUUCUCUUCAAGGAACGGACAUCUUCCCACCCUUCCUCCAGAACGAGCCUCUGACCCCAGUCGACUCCAGUUGGUUUUGAGUUUUGCCGAGCUCAAUGCAUAGAUUAAAUUGGAAUUUUCCAGG